GGAGUAACGGAAUACAUGUACCGCCGUUACGUAUUUAGAAUACAAAAUAUGAGUAACUGUAUUCCGUUACAGUUACCGUUUAAAAAGGUGGUAUUCAGAAUACAGUUACUUUGCUGAAAUAAAUGGAUUACACGGCGGUACUUUCCUGUUUCAUAUUCUCGCGGGUCAGGACUGUUUGGGUUUGUUUGACAGCUAUGUUCUGUUGUUCCAGGCGGCAGCGUUACGGUUGCCAUGGUUACAGGGUGACGCUCUCUCUCUGCGUGUUUCCUGGGUGAGAGAGCGCUUUUUUGUUGUUGUUGUUGUGCUAAGCUAAUAGGCAGAGUGCUACAGGCAUAGGGCUUUGGAGCGUGAUGUCACGGGAGGUGGGCCACGCCCCCUUCCGCCAUGACAGUAGGCUAGACACAGGAUACAGCUUCAGCUAUGGUUUGUGUUGUGUUGUCAGUUGCAACGUUAGAUCACACGAUCGUGAAGGCAAGAAGCUGGAUAAUGGGCUCUCUUUUCAUCGUUUUCCAUCCUGGAGGCAACGUGAGGGAUCCCAUGUAUCCGAUAUUACUAAACAAAGACGUCAGGCUUGCAUUGCAGCGGUGAGACGAGCGGAUCGAGUUCUGUGCAAUCCCCAGCUUUUUGUUGGUUUGGUCUCCGCAUCUUCUUUCCGGCUUUUGUUAUGCAGCUGCAGAGUCUGAAGGUGUGCCCCGUGCAGAAGUAAUCGAUGAAGACCAACAACAAAAUCACCAUGUCAUGGAGGCUGUGGACAGCAGUUGUGUUGGACAAGUGGAGGUUGAGGUACCACCUGUAAAUGUGGAGAGUGGUGAUCGGACAGACAGCAUCACAGAAGCUAAAGGGCAGACGAAGGAUUGUGUGUGCAAUGAACAGGGCAGAGCAGAAAUAAACACAACACUGCUUGAUAAGAUUGUUAAGGUUUGCUGUGUUUUGGUGAAUAUGUGCCCCAGUGUGGUUGUCAAACCAGCGCCAAAUGAAACUUGCUCUUGUUGAGUAUUCAUAAAGCUGUUGUGUUGCAUGUGUGGUUCAUUGUAAAUAAUUGUACUUUGUGUGAAGUAGUUUCAAUAAAACAGAAA
ensembl:lncRNA